rnacentral:tRNA from 1 species
GGGGCGUUACUCAAGUGGUUGAAGAGAUCGGUCUUGAAAACCGAGAGGUCGGGAAACCGGUGCGAGGGUUCAAAUCCUUCACGCCCCGCUA